rnacentral:rRNA from 1 species
CCUACGGGUGGCAGCAGUGGGGAAUCUUGGGCAAUGGGCGCAAGCCUGACCCAGCAACGCCGCGUGCAGGAAGAAGGCUUUCGGGUUGUAAACUUCUUUUAAGAGGGAAGAGAAGAAGACGGUACCUCUUGAAUAAGCCACGGCUAACUACGUGCCAGCAGCCGCGGUAAUACGUAGUUGGCAAGCUUUGUCCGGAUUUACUGGGUGUAAAGGGCGUGUAGCCGGGCUGACAAGUCUGAUGUGAAAUUCCUGGGCGCAACCCCGGACCGGCAUUGGAAACUGUUGGACUUGAGGAUCGGAGAGGCGAGCGGAAUUCCUAGUGUAGCGGUGAAAUGCGUAGAUAUAAGGAGGAACACCAGUGGCGAAGGCGGCCUGCUGGACGACAACUGACGGUGAGGCGCGAAAGCGUGGGGAGCAAACAGGAUUAGAUACCCCAGUAGUC